GCUGAUGUUGGUUUGUUGGGAUCUGAUCAUCAGUUAAAAGCUGGAUACUCUGCAGCAGGUUGGAGUGGAAAUUUCCACUCUGCGAUUUCUGGGGUUUUGCGGGGAGGAGCUGCUUUUGAGUAGAAAGAUAAACAGCUGGUCCGCAUAUUGAUGUGAAUGCGUUUACCAAGUGAUUUGAAACGCUACGCUGGAUAUUGAUUGGAAAUGUAACGGGAUGUUAAAUUUUAAUCCUCUCGAGCGAGUCGUGUAACAUAUUGGCGUUUCACUGGUCAUAAAGUUAAAAUGGCAAAACGAAAACAUCGGGACAAUGCAUUCCCCGGCUCUUAUUUUUAAAGCGAUCCUUUAUGAGCUUUUCCUGCCGGCUCGAACGGAGUGAGCGGUCAGGAAUUGUUUGGGACUAACUCGAGAGGAGGGAUUGGCAAAUGUAGGAUUUUUUUUUGUGCUUACUUUGAAGCGACAUUCUUCUGAGCUGGUCUGGGUCAAAACAGAGAACAAAUGUAUCUGUCUGUACUUAAAAGUUGAAAUCCUUGGAUGCUCGCGCUGCUUGAAAGAUGCCUGGGAAGAUUUGGUUUGACAAUACGAUGCCGUCAGACUGCAGGUUUUUCCAGCGUUUUCUGUUUUUAUACCUAAUUUAUACUGCCUGGCUCCAUUUACAAUGUCCCCGCUCUGGAGAAAACUCUGCCAUUAAAAUUGGAGAGCACGAUUAGGUUCGCCUACAUUUGGAUCAUAGAGAGUUUUAGCACAGAAGGAGGCCAUUUGGUUGUUCAUGUCUUUGCUGGCCCAAAAAGAGCAAUCCAGCCUAACCCCACUUUCCAGCUCUUGUCCCUUGACCUUGAAGUUUACAGCAUAUCAGGU